CCUACGGGAGGCUGCAGUGAGGAAUAUUGGUCAAUGGGGGCAACCCUGACCCAGCCAUGCCGCGUGAGUGAAGAAGGUCUUCGGAUUUUCAAGCUCUUUCGAACGUGACGAUGAUGACGGUAGGGUCUAAAGAAGGACCGGCAAACUUCAUGCCGGCAGCCGCGGUAAUACGAAGGGUGCGGGCGUUGUUCGGAAUUACUGGGCGUAAAGGGAGUGUAGGCGGAUAUGUAAGAUAGCGGUGAAAUGCCGGGGCGCAAACCCGGAACUGCCAUUAUGACUAGGUAUCUAGAGUAAUGGAGAGGAUAGCGGAAUACGCAGUGUAGAGGUGAAAUUCGUAGAUAUUGGGUAGAACACCGGUGGCGAAGGCGGCUAUCCGGCCAUUUACUGACGCUGAGGCUCGAAAGCAUGGGGAUCAAACAGGAUUAGAUACCCGUGUAGUC
rnacentral:rRNA from 1 species